GAUUGUGGAGCUUGUAAAAGUAUUUUAGUUACAUUAAAAUGAACUAUUUAAGAUAGUAUAAUCU
rnacentral:tRNA from 1 species